rnacentral:miRNA from 1 species
UUUGGGGUAAGGGCUUCCUGGCU